UUAAAGAGUCCGAGCGCGAUUGUGUUGUGAUUGUUGGGUUGCAGUUAUUAGUGCGGUUACAAACCACACCCCCACUCGUUGAAAGAGGUUGGGUGAGGCUUGUUUUGGUCAAUCGCUGUCGACUUCAACCUGCCAGUGGUCUGGCGACCUUUACCCGACGCCAUGGAAAACAUUCAACUAAAUUUCACAGUGGAGUCACGAGAUUCAAGGCUUCUUUGUACUAGCAGCGUUGUCCGAUCAUCUCAAGAUAAGAUCUUGCCAGGAUGCUGCCUUCUGUUCCUUACUUCCUGAAACUGCUCAUCUUUUACUCCUCCAUGUGAUUGAGAUCUUCAGAGAUCUUCAAUCAAUGACCUGGAAGCUAGCAGCUAUUCUACUUGCUGUGUCAGCUAUUCAUCCUUCAUUUAUUCCCUGAGUAUUUCUUAAUGGUGAACUGGGUAUGGAGUGUAUGGGCCAGCAGGAACGCAUGCAGCAUAGCUGUGCACGAGGCAAAGAAACGGCUGUUAACACUGAAGCAAACAAACAUGUUUAACUUUUUCUUUCUCCCAUUUAAAUUGAUUAUAUGAACACUCCUUUGCACCAGCCUUUGCACCAAUUGUUUCGGAUUAUAAACGCUCUGCUGUAAACUGUCCACCUACCUCUAUUCAUUAACAUCAAUUGAAUGUAGAUUUAAGCAGUAUUACAUAUUAAAUUUUUAGUAUAGAGAAGUAAGAAAAUAAAAUUUUUCUUUAAAUAAUUAAUCAAAA